rnacentral:lncRNA from 1 species
UCGGCGGGAGCGGCGGCGGCAGACGCGUGUGGCGACCGGCGCGGGAAAGUGGCUUCCUAGUUGGGGGAGCAUUAACCCCGUGGGUGCUCGUGUGCAGUAGUCCUAGUGGCUUUUCUGUUCUGUUCUGAGACCCAGCAGCUGUCACCGGUGAGCUACUUGGAAGGCCCCUUUGGCGAGCUUGUAGAGGAGCUUGAGACCUUCACCGUCCCUGCGACUCUUACCAGCGGGAAGGAAAGAUGGUUGAAGCAGAUCGCCCAGGAAAGCUCUUCAUUGGUGGGCUCAAUACAGAAACAAAUGAGAAAGCCCUGGAAGCAGUAUUUGGCAAGUAUGGACGGAUAGUGGAAAUACUUUUGAUGAAAGACCGUGAGACCAACAAAUCAAGAGGAUUUGCUUUUGUUACCUUCGAAAGCCCAGCAGAUGCUAAAGAUGCAGCUAGAGAUAUGAAUGGAAAGUCUUUGGAUGGAAAAGCCAUUAAGGUAGAGCAAGCUACCAAACCAUCUUUUCGAGGAGGAAGUGGAGGAACUAGGGGACCCCCUUCACGUGGAGGAUACAUGGAUGACGGUGGUUAUUCCAUGAACUUUAACAUGAGUUCUUCCAGGGGACCACUUCCAGUAAAAAGAGGACCACCACCACGAAGCGGGGGUCCCCCUCCUAAGAGAUCAACACCUUCAGGACCAGUUCGAAGCAGCAGUGGAAUGGGUGGAAGAACGCCAGUGUCCCGUGGAAGAGAUAGCUAUGGAGGCCCACCAAGAAGGGAACCCCUGCCAUCUCGCAGAGAUGUUUAUUUGUCCCCAAGAGAUGAUGGAUAUUCUACAAAAGACAGCUAUUCAAGCAGAGAUUACCCAAGUUCUCGAGACACCAGAGAUUAUGCACCACCACCAAGAGAUUAUACUUACCGCGAUUACAGUCAUUCCAGUUCCCGAGAUGACUAUCCGUCAAGAGGCUAUGGUGAUAGAGAUGGAUAUGGUCGGGAUCGUGAGUAUUCAGAUCAUCCAAGUGGCGGUUCCUACAGAGAUUCAUAUGAGAGCUAUGGAAAUUCGCGCAGUGCGCCCCCUACUCGUGGGCCACCACCAUCUUAUGGAGGAAGCAGCCGCUAUGAUGAUUACAGCAGCUCACGUGAUGGAUAUGGUGGAAGUCGAGACAGUUACUCAAGCAGCAGAAGUGAUCUCUACUCAAGUGGCCGUGAUCGCGUCGGCAGACAAGAACGAGGGCUUCCCCCGUCUAUGGAAAGGGGGUACCCUCCUCCACGUGAUUCCUACAGCAGUUCAAGCCGUGGAGCACCAAGAGGAGGUGGCCGUGGAGGGAGCCGAUCUGAUAGAGGGGGAGGCAGAAGCAGAUACUAGAAACAAAUAAGACUUUGGAUCAAGGUCUCCAUGCAGAGAAACACAAGAUGGAAAGUCUCUGUCAUAACUAUCAAGGACUAAUAAGAGAAGUUGUGUUACCUUUUUAAAUUUUCUGUUUUAAGUUCCCCUUCAUUUUUGUGUUCUUGUGAAGAAAAAGUAAAACAUGAUUAAUUUUGAUAUUAUGAAUUGCUUUCAACAAGCAAAUGUUAAAUGUGUAAGACUUGACUUGUACUAGUGUUGUAAUUUUCCAAGUAAAAGUGUCCCUAAAGGCAA